GACGAACGCUGGCGGCGUGCCUAAUACAUGCAAGUAGAACGCUGAAGGAAGGAGCUUGCUCUUUCCGGAUGAGUUGCGAACGGGUGAGUAACGCGUAGGUAACCUGCCUGGUAGCGGGGGAUAACUAUUGGAAACGAUAGCUAAUACCGCAUAACAGUAGAUAUCGCAUGAUAGCUGCUUGAAAGGUGCAAUUGCACCACUACCAGAUGGACCUGCGUUGUAUUAGCUAGUUGGUGAGGUAACGGCUCACCAAGGCAACGAUACAUAGCCGACCUGAGAGGGUGAUCGGCCACACUGGGACUGAGACACGGCCCAGACUCCUACGGGAGGCGGCAGUAGGGAAUCUUCGGCAAUGGACGGAAGUCUGACCGAGCAACGCCGCGUGAGUGAAGAAGGUUUUCGGAUCGUAAAGCUCUGUUGUAAGAGAAGAACGAGUGUGAGAGUGGAAAGUUCACACUGUGACGG
rnacentral:rRNA from 1 species